UAUUUUCAGUCCUUUGACAGUCUCUUGGGAGAAGAUGUGUGUACCUAUAGGCUGUGAAUAUGAUCCAUUGGAAAUGUAUAUCUAAGAUCCGUUUUGCUGUUGUGUAUCUUACUUUUGCAUCAUUGGCAGCUGAAAGGUGUUCUUGGACUGUAAUUUUGUGACUGGUGCUAGCUUUGGAUGCCUCCUCUGCUGAUCUUGCAACUUGCAUUCUUUUUCCUGUUCUCUGCAUUAUAAACGAAUUGGCCAGUCACAAAUUAUGAAGCUUAUGUGCUGUUUCUCUCUAUUGCU